AACUUCUUCUGAAGUUGACCUCGAAUCAGGUAGGAAUACCCGCUGAACUUAAGCAUAUCAAUAAGCGGAGGAAAAGAAACCAACAGGGAUUGCCCCAGUAACGGCGAGUGAAGCGGCAACAGCUCAAAUUUGAAAUCUGGCUCUCGGGCCCGAGUUGUAAUUUGUAGAGGAUGCUUUUGGUGAGGUGCCUUCCGAGUUCCCUGGAACGGGACGCCAUAGAGGGUGAGAGCCCCGUCUGGUUGGACGCCGAACCUCUGUAAAGCUCCUUCGACGAGUCGAGUAGUUUGGGAAUGCUGCUCUAAAUGGGAGGUAUAUGUCUUCUAAAGCUAAAUACCGGCCAGAGACCGAUAGCGCACAAGUAGAGUGAUCGAAAGAUGAAAAGAACUUUGAAAAGAGAGUUAAACAGUACGUGAAAUUGUUGAAAGGGAAGCGCUUGUGACCAGACUUGGGCUUGGUUGAUCAUCCGGGGUUCUCCCCGGUGCACUCUUCCGGCCUAGGCCAGCAUCAGUUCGCCCUGGGGGAUAAAGGCUUCGGGAACGUGGCUCUCUCCGGGGAGUGUUAUAGCCCGCUGCGUAAUACCCUGUGGCGGACUGA
rnacentral:rRNA from 1 species